rnacentral:lncRNA from 1 species
AUGUUUUCUAUACAUUGAGGACAAUGCAUGAUUUAGGUGUGGGGGUGCGGAUCUCUGAAAUUUUUAAUUUUUUUGCUUUAGACACAUUUUUCCUUUCACUUUGCAUUUUUCUUUUAGUUUUUUUUUUCUUUUAGUUUGCAUUUUCUUCUCAGUUUUCCUUUCAGUUUGUGUUUGAUCAACCACAGUCUUCUUCUUUUUGAUUGCUUUACUCAAAUUGAUGAACUAUGUUGGAUGAGCUUUCUUUCCAUGACCCCAUUGAUGUAAUGACUCUUUAAACCUAGGUUGAAUCAAUUGCAAUGAGAU